AGCAGCCGCGGUAAAUUCCAGCUCCAAUAGCGUAUAUUAAAGUUGUUGCAGUUAAAAAGCUCGUAGUUGAAUUUCGGGACCAGUAUGUUGGUCGUGCUUCGGUACGUACUGUCAUUACUGGUUUCUCCCUUCUGAAGAACCUUGAUGUCAUUAAUUUGGUGUCUUGGGGAAUCAGGACUGUUACUUUGAAAAAAUUAGAGUGUUUAAAGCAGGCAUACGCUUGAAUACAUUAGCAUGGAAUAAUGAAAUAGGACGUUUGAUUCUAUUUUGUUGGUUUCUAGGAUCGACGUAAUGAUUAAUAGGGAUAGUUGGGGGCAUUAGUAUUCAAUUGUCAGAGGUGAAAUUCUUGGAUUUAUUGAAGACUAACUACUGCGAAAGCAUUUGCCAAGGAUGUUUU
rnacentral:rRNA from 1 species